CUACGGGACGCUGCAGUGGGGAAUAUUGGACAAUGGGCGCAAGCCUGAUCCAGCAAUGCCGCGUGAGUGAAGACGGCCUUAGGGUUGUAAAACUCUUUCGCUAGGGAAGAUAAUGACUGUACCUAGUAAAGAAGUCCCGGCUAACUCCGUGCCAGCAGCCGCGGUAAUACGGAGGGGACUAGCGUUGUUCGGAAUUACUGGGCGUAAGGAGUUCGUAGGCGGACUGACAAGUUAGAGGUGAAAUCCCAGGGCUCAACCCUGGAACUGCCUUUAAAACUGUCAGUCUAGAGACCGGAAGAGGUUAGGGGAAUACCUAGUGUAGAGGUGAAAUUCGUAGAUAUUAGGUGGAACACCAGUGGCGAAGGCGCCUAACUGGUCCGGUACUGACGCUGAGGAACGAAAGCGUGGGGAGCAAACAGGAUUAGAUACCCGCGUAGUC
rnacentral:rRNA from 1 species